GCCGGGCGUGGUGGCGCAUGCCUGUAAUCCCAGCUACUUGGGAGGCUGAGGCAGAAGAAUCACUUGAAUCCAGGAGGUGGAGGUUGCAGUGAGCCGAGAUUGCGCCACUGCACUCCAGCCUGGGUGACAAGAGUGAAACUCUGUCUCAA
rnacentral:SRP_RNA from 1 species